rnacentral:rRNA from 1 species
GAUGAACGCUGGCGGCGUGCCUAACACAUGCAAGUCGAACGGAAAGGCCCUGCUUUUGCGGGGUGCUCGAGAGGGGAACGGGGGAGUAAAACGUGAGUAAACUGCCCUUGACAUUGGGAGAACAUCUGGGAACUGGGGCUAAUACCGGAUAGGAGCUCCUGCUGCAUGGUGGUGGAUGGUGAGUUUCGGCGGUUGGGGAUGGACUCGCGGGUUAUCAGCUGGUUGGUGAGGUAGUGGCUUCGCAAGGGUUUGAAGGGUAGCCGGCCUGAGAGGUGGACCGGGAACAAGGGUACUGCGAUACGGCACAGAGGCGUACGGAAGGCAGCGGUGGGGAACAUGGCACAACGGGGCGAAGCCUGAUGCAGAAACGCUGCGUGCGGGAUGAUCUCCUUCGGGUAGUGAACAACUUUGGCAUGUACCGAAGCGUGAGUGACGGUACUGGAUAAAGAAGCACCGGCUAACUACGUG